rnacentral:rRNA from 1 species
AACGUACGCUGGCGGCACGCCUAACACAUGCAAGUCGAACGAAGUAGCAAUACUUAGUGGCAGACGGGUGAGUAACAUGUAGGUAUCUGCCCUUUGGCCUGGAAUAACACGAGGAAACUUGUGCUAAUACCGGAUAAGUCUUUACGGAGAAAGCUUUAUGCACCAUUGGAUGAGCCUGCACUUGAUUAGUUUGUUGGUGGGGUACUGGCCUACCAAGACUGUGAUCAAUAGCUGAUUUGAGAGGAUGAUCAGCCACAUUGGGACUGAGACUCGGCCCAAACUCCUACGGGAGGCAGCAGUGGGGAAUCUUGCACAAUGGAGGAAACUCUGAUGCAGCGAUGCCGCGUGAGUGAAGAAGGCCCUUGGGUUGUAAAGCUCUUUCGUCGGGGAAGAAAAUGACUGUACCCGAAUAAGAAGGUCCGGCUAACUUCGUGCCAGCAGCCGCGGUAAUACGAAGGGACCUAGCGUAGUUCGGAAUUACUGGGCUUAAAGAGUUCGUAGGUGGUUAAAAAAGUUGGUGGUGAAAUCCCAGAGCUUAACUCUGGAACUGCCAUCAAAACUUUUUAGCUAGAGUAUGAUAGAGGAAAGCAGAAUUUCUAGUGUAGAGGUGAAAUUCGAAGAUAUUAGAAAGAAUACCAAUUGCGAAGGCAGCUUUCUGGAUCAUUACUGACACUGAGGAACGAGAGCAUGGGUAGCGAAGAGGAUUAGAUACCCUCGUAGUCCAUGCCGUAAACGAUGUGUGUUAGACGUUGGAAAUUUAUUUUCAGUGUCGCAGCGAAAGCGAUAAACACACCGCCUGGGGAGUACGACCGCAAGGUUAAAACUCAAAUGAAUUGACGGGGACCCGCACAAGUAGUGGAGCAUGUGGUUUAAUUCGAAGAUACGCGCAGAACCUUACCAACACUUGACAUGUUCGUCGCGACUUUAAGAGAUUAAAGUUUUCGGUUCGGCCGGACGAAACACAGGUGCUGCAUGGCUGUCGUCAGCUCGUGUCGUGAGAUGUUGGGUUAAGUCCCGCAACGAGCGCAACCCUCACUUUUAGUUGCCAUCAUUUAGUUGGGCACUCUGAAAGAACUGCCAGUGAUAAGCUGGAGGAAGGUGGGGAUGACGUCAAGUCCUCAUGGCCCUUACGUGUUGGGCUACACACGUGCUACAAUGGUAUCUACAACAGGAAGCAAGACUGCGAAGUUAAGCAAAUCCUUAAAAGAUACCUCAGUUCGGAUUGCACUCUGCAACUCGAGUGCAUGAAGCUGGAAUUACUAGUAAUCGUGGAUCAGCGUGCCACGGUGAAUGCGUUCCCGGGUCUU